GUGGUCAAAAAAGUAGUCGUAGUGUUACAGGAAAGGGGUCCUGUUCCAGACCCAAGAGACGGUUCUUGGAUCUCACGCAAGAAAGACUUCAGGGCAAGUCUGCAGAGCAAAGUGAAAGCAACUUUUCACUUUGGGAG